rnacentral:rRNA from 1 species
GAUGAACGCUAGCUACAGGCUUAACACAUGCAAGUCGAGCGGUGCAGCAAUGCAUAGCGGCGAACGGGUGAGUAACGCGUAAGCAAUCUCGCCCCCUGUUCGGGAAUAGCCGUGCCAACGCGCGGGUAAUACCGGAUAUCGUGGCCCUGGACAUCCGGGGUUGACAAAAGAUUUAUCGACAGGGGAUGAGCUUGCGUCCGAUUAGCUAGUUGGCGGGGCAACGGCCCACCAAGGCGACGAUCGGUAGCCGGCCUGAGAGGGUGAUCGGCCACAUUGGGACUGAGAUACGGCCCAGACUCC